rnacentral:tmRNA from 1 species
GGGGGCGCAAUGGCUUCGACGGGAGUCACGAAACCUUGGGUGCAUGCCGAGGGGGUAGCUUUCCUCGUUAAUCCAGCUGCAAGACUCUAGUCGCGAACGACGAAGUCUACGCUCUAGCAGCCUAAGGGCUGCUUAACCACCCUAUCUUGUGUUCGUGCUCGGUAAAGGUGGGUCAGAAUCACGAAAUCGCGAGCCAGACGUGCCCGACGUCGGCAGCUAAAACCUCAGGGCUGGUUGCACGGUUAUCCCGCCAAUUGGAGCACCGUACGACGAGAUCAAAGAAUCGGCUAAGCAUGUAGAUCACAAGACGUAGGGCUUGCGGACGGGGGUUCGACUCCCCCCGCCUCCACCA